rnacentral:rRNA from 1 species
AUUGAACGCUGGCGGCAGGCCUAACACAUGCAAGUCGAACGAGUGGCGGACGGGUGAGUAAUGUCUGGGAAACUGCCUGAUGGAGGGGGAUAACUACUGGAAACGGUAGCUAAUACCGCCUAACAUCAGAUGUACCCAGAUGGGAUUAGCUCGUAGGUGGGGUAACGGCUCACACAGGCGACGAUUCCUAGCUGGUCUGAGAGGAUGACAAGCCACACGGGAAGUGAUACACGGUCCAGACGCCUACGGGAGGAAGCAGUGGGGAAUAUUGCACAAUGGGCGCAAGCCUGAUGCAGCCAUGCCGCGUGUAUGAAGAAGGCCUUCGGGUUGUAAAGUACUUUCAGCGGGGAGGCGUUACCCGCAGAAGAAGCACCGGCUAACUCCGUGCCAGCAGCCGCGGUAAUAC